rnacentral:rRNA from 1 species
AGCUCCAAUAGCGUAUACUAAUGUUGUUGCAGUUAAAAAGCUCGUAGUCGGAUUUCUGUUUAUUUACAUUUGAUCAUUUUUGGUUUUGAUGUGAAUUUACUUUAUGCAAGAAACUUUCAUAUUAUUCAUUUGAUAUGUUUUGGGACUUGCUCAUUUACUUUGAGAAAAUUAGAGUGUUCAAAGCAGGUAUUUGCCUGAAUAUUACUCUUGGAAUAAUAAUAUAGGACUUCAGUUCUAGUUUGUUGGUGAUCUGGAACCGGAGUAAUGAUUGAUAGGGACAGUUGGGGUCAUUCAUACUGCAAAGCGAGAGGUGGAAUUCUUGGACCUUUGUAUGAUGAACAACUGCGAAAGCAUUUGACUAGGAUGUUCCCA